rnacentral:misc_RNA from 1 species
UAAAAACCCAGUCUUUCUAUUCUCCCUCUUGCUGCUUUCUGUCCCGUUCAAGCCGUGGAAGACAAAAGUUAUACUCUAUCUUUCUCUUUCAAGACUAUUGAUCAAAGUGUUGUCAGGAAUCUAAUGGCUUCUUCUUCUGCUCCUGCUUCUUCUUCUUCUUCUUCUUCUUCUUCUUGACCUUCUUUAUUCUCUGCAAUUUUUGUGUAAUUGAGUUUUAGAUUUCCAAUUCUUGCUUGUUCAUACUUCAACUUGCCGCUGUUUCCUUUCCCGCCUCUUUUUCAAGGUGUUUCUGCAAUUUGAAAGCGUGGAGAUUUCCAAAAGAUUCGAUUUUUGCCUCUUCUGUGCAUCAGUUCUUGGGUUCUCUCAGGUUCCAUUCUUUGGUGGAGUUUGACG